rnacentral:lncRNA from 1 species
GUUUAUUUAUAUACUACAAAAUAAAUUUGCAUUUAAAACCGGCGUUGAUCACAUAACAGUAAUAUUCAUAAAAAAAAAGAAUCUAUAAAACUUAUGCAUGAAAUAUUUGGCACUGGACGUUAUGUUUCUUAUCGUGUGUCUUUAGUGAUGGUGGAAACCUAAAAUUUAUUAAAAACCAGGAUAACAAGUUUAUAAUUUGAUGGGCUUUUGAAAUACACACAAACUAUUGACAAAAGUAAAAAAAAAUACUGUUAAAACCCCGCCAUGCAAUAUUCGGAUAAAUAUAAAAGGCAACAUCGGAGUUUAUAAGUACAAAAUAAUUAUCAAAGUUAACGAUUAAUUCAACUCCAGAACUAUGUGUAUGUUCGCUCUAAACGAAUAUGAAAUACUUGCAACUGGACAAUAAACAACUGCAGUCAAAGUUACUUAAUAAUAACAGAUUAAUUUUGCAAUUAUUAUAAUCAUUAAAAACCUACAUCGAACUAACUUAAUCUGAUAAAUGAC